UCAAUUGCCAUUCCAAAGGCAAAACCUUCCUCAAAAUGCCUUUGGAUGAAUCAGGGUUAUCACUGGCCUUGCCCUUUUUGGGGAACAGGGUCAGCUUGGGCCAGCACUUGGUGAGGCUGAUCCAGAAAUCCAACUCCAGUCCCUCUUGCUUAUUAGCAGCUCCAAAGAUCCAUCCUGGGAAGGCAGCAAAGCCCUUGGCAGUUUUCCCUGGACACCUCUUGGCCCAGGGGCUGAGGGCUGAGUGGUGCAGCCGUGGGCAGGCCAUUCCAGGUUCCCCCUGUGCACUGGGGAGGAGCAGGAGCCCUCGCUGGUGUCUGUGGAACUUCUGGGGACGUGCUAAAAGCAGCUUGGAAGGGGAUCAGUAUUUCCACUCGUUUUUCAGUGCCGAUCUUCCUGCCACACAAUGGGAGCCGGAAGCCUGACAGGGUUUGGAGGAGCCCCCGUGGGUCCCUCUGCAGCCCCCUGCCAAAUCCUGCUUGCAAGCUUCUGCCUCGGGCAGCCCUCAGUGAGCAAAACUCCCCUUUCCCAGGUUUUCCUGUGAAAACUGCAGCCUGCUGCACUCAGCACCAGGCUAAGAACAGAUGUAUGGACAGGAAGGGUACAAAAAAAAUUAAACCCCCUAAUUGUGGCCUGUUUGGAUGGACACUGACAUCGCAGGUGGUGCUGGGGAACACUUGCCUGCAUUUCCCAUCUAGUUUUCUUGGAGACCUGCCUGUCCACCCCUUUUCAGACCUGUGGGUUUAAUGCCUUGUGGUUCCCCUUUCCUGGAGGCUGGCGGAUGGAUUGCUGAGGUUAUCCUGGAGUUUAGCCCUGAGUGGGGCUCUGUUCCUCAGGGUGUGUGUGGGUCUGGUGCCACGGGCUGGGGAAGCUGUCAGAGCUCACCACUCAAACCCAGCCCCUAAAGCUGGAAGAGGAGCCAGUCUGGGGUGGGAGAGAUGUGGCCAAGCUCUUUUUCCCCACCCCUUGUCCCUGUAUCUAAUGGGUCCACCAGGACUGUUCCCAUUGUCGGUGCAGCUGGGAGGCAAAAGGAGGUGUCUGGGCCAAGCAGUGCUUCUUACUUCAUUUUCAACUGUUUGCAAAGCCCCUGAUCAGACGACCCAGAUGGUGCUAAAUGGCCAUGAAGGACCAUUAGACAGUGGGUCAUUGUCGUGCUCCUUGAGUUAGAUAAUUGUGAUGGGCCUGAACUAAUUAAUUUCUACCCAAAAAAGUAGCACUGAAUCAUGGUUUUUUGGCAACACUGGUGAGAAGGACUUGCAGUCAGUUUCCUUUGGAUUUAUCCAGCCUGUGCAAACAGGGAUCUCUGCUGGAGCCACACGCUUCCAUGGCCGAAAAGCAGGGGAGCAAGGAAAGCCACGC